GGGCUUGACAUCCCACGAACCUGGUGGAAACAUCGGGGUGCCUUCGGGAGCCGCAAGACAGGUGCUGCAUGGCUGUCGUCAGCUCGUGUCGUGAGAUGUUGGGUUAAGUCCCGCAACGAGCGCAACCCUCACCCCUUGUUGCCACCGGGUAAAGCCGAGCACUCUAGGGGAACUGCUAGCGUUAAGCUGGAGGAAGGCGGGGAUGACGUCAAGUCAUCAUGCCCCUUACGCCCUGGGCUACACACGUGCUACAAUGGCUGGUACAAAGGGAUGCGAUACCGCGAGGUGGAGCUAAUCCCGGAAAACCAGCCUAAGUUCAGAUUGCAGUCUGCAACUCGACUGCAUGAAGGAGGAAUCGCUAGUAAUCGCUCAUCAGCACGGCGCGGUGAAUACGUUCCCGGGCCUUGUACACACCGCCCGUCACACCACGAAAGCCGGCUGUACUCGAAGUCGCUGAG
rnacentral:rRNA from 1 species